rnacentral:misc_RNA from 1 species
GAACUGCGAUAAGUAAUGUGAAUUGCAGAAUUCAGUGAAUCAUCGAGUCUUUGAACGCACAUUGCGCCCCCUGGUAUUCCGGGGGGCAUGCCUGUCCGAGCGUCAUUGCUGCCCUUCAAGCCCGGCUUGUGUGUUGGGUCGUCGUCCCCCCGUGGGACGGGCCCGAAAGGCAGCGUCGCGGUGAUCCGCUAAGCCAGAGCGUAUGGGGACGCUACAGUCACACGCUCGCGGCGCGGACCGGCGCUGGCCGACCCCCCUAACCAUUCUACGGUUUGACCUCGGAUCAGGUAGGGAUACCCGCUGAACUUAAGC